rnacentral:lncRNA from 1 species
AUAAACAUAACCCUAUGUGUUCAAUACACACAAGGAACUUAUCCUAUUUUUCUUUUCUUUUAUUUUAAUAUGGUGUCAAAGCCAUUUAGAAGCAAUCCUAAUGAGAGUUUGUUAGGCUUAUCAAGUCAACUGCUACCGGACCACUCAUAAUAUAUAGUCUCACGUACGAGUUGGCAGGUCUCAACGUGAGAGGGUGUUGGAGAUCCCACAUCGACUAGAGAUAAGGACAUUUCAUAGUAUAUAAGUGGGUGCAAACCUCACCUUAUGAGCAAUUUUAU